CCAAAAUUAUUUUAUCUUUCCAUUUCUCUCUUUGCAGUACACACGGGAACCUGGAGAAUUCUAAAAUACAAAAAAAAAUCGGAAGUUGAGAUUUUUUUUAUUGUUCUUUGCAUUUCUUUUGCACGUUUUCUAGAAGUUUUUUACUCACUUUGGUGGUGUUGAUUUCAUGGCCACCUCUUAGUCCCAGCAUCGUUGCGUUUUUGGCUACAGUAACAACAGCGGCUUUGGCAAAGAAGUUUUCGGAGAAAUUAAGAGGAAGAUAGAAGUUCUUUUAUUUUGAUUUUAUUAAAAUGGUGUUUAUGUUUUUUUUGUCUGAUUUUUUGUGGUUUUUUUGGAUGCUUCGUUGUUAUUUUUUCCUUAAACUCAUAUUUCUGAUAUUGUUCAGAGUUUUAUGGGAUAAUCUACGAGGUAAGCUAUAAUUUUUAUGUAUUUUCCUCAGUGCUUAAUUAUCUGGAUUUGCAUGCAAGGGUGUCUAUGGCUCAGUGGUAUUUUUAGUGCUCCCAGUUAUGCAUUUUCUGAUCAUGUUCAUUAUGACAUUUAUUGGUUGCAGGUUAUGUGUUUGAUCAAAUGUCAAUAUGAUAUUUUUGGAUCAUUUCAUUACCUCCUUGAGAGAUGAGGUUCGAAUAAUAAAGAUAUUGCCACCUAAGGUCAAGAAAAGAGUUGAACUAGGAUUAUUAUACUCAAUGCCACCCAUUAGCUGGUCUAAUAUCUCAUACUAUGAAAAUCAGGUCCUUCCUCUAUUGCUGAAACACAAGGUCAUACAGCUAAAUAGAACAGAUGCUAGACUUGCAAAUAAUGGACUACCUAGUGAGAUUCAGAAGCUAUGAUGCCGAGUAAACUUAAUGCUCUGAGGUUUACUACUCAGAUAGAAGAACUUGGCAGAAUGAUGGUCAAGGUUUUGAGGGAAAAGCGGCCUUUCCUUGCACUUCAUCUUAGAUAUGAGAUGGACAUGUUGGCCUUCUCUGCCUGUGCUCAUGAUUGUUACAGCAAAGAGGAGGAGGAACUCACAAGAAUGAGGUGGAUUUGACAUAAUGCAUGCUGCAGCAAGGGCUUAUGAUCGAGCUGUGAUCAAGUUUCGUGGCGUUGAUGCGGAUAUCAAAAGGAAAUCGACCUUUCUAAAAUGUCAAUGACGAUUCAACAGCUUCUCCUAAUCGGCGACUCUUCCGUUGGAAAAUCCUGCUUGCUUCUCAGAUUCGCUGUGAGUUAUCACUUUAUUUGCUUCUCCUAAUCUCUCUUUUUGUUCACUUCUUUUGUUUCUUCGUUUCGUUUCAGGAUGACUCCUAGGUCGACAGCUACGUAAGUACUAUUGGAGUUGAUUUCAAAAUCAGAACCAUGGACUUGGAAGGGAAAACCGUCAAGCUGCAGAUAGUGAGUAUUCUCAGGAAGUUCGAGAUUCCGUCCAUGUCUCACUUGAGACUCUCAAUGAACGAAAGUAGCAAGCCUUCAUUUAAAUGGCGAAGGGUUUUGCUCAAAGUUAGCGGAGAAGCACUUGCUGGAGACCACUCUCAGAACAUUGACCCUAAGAUAACCAUGGCCAUUGCAAGGGAGGUGGCAGCAGUGACACGCCUUGGCAUUGAGAUUUUCUAGCAAAAAAUGGGGAAGAAGAGAAAGCAGUGAGACAACUCAUGACGAGGCACAACCCCAAAAGGAACAACUCAUGAUAAGGCACAGCCGGAAAAUAAAUUUCUUUGAAUUGCUUUAUUUUGCCCUUUUUUUUCUAAAUCAUGCACACAUCUUGGUUUGAUUCGUGCCUUAGCUGUACGGACAAUUGCAUGUGUUUAUUUUGUUAUCAAUUUAUAAAGCUUUAAAGUGAAUUGUGGUCAUAUCAAAACAAUCUCUUCUUAACAUUAAUCAUUAGAAGACCGGUUGAUGUUUUUUUUAAUA